AAACGGCCAGCGCGGGAAAAGGUAAGCUCUGCGCCGGGUCGCUGGGCCUGCCCAUCACUGCACGCCAGAGGCCGGUGCUACGGCUGGGCUGUUGGACCCCGGCCUACUCCUCCACCAUCACCGCAUGAAGCGGCACCGGCGCUGAGGUGAUAACGACGACGGCGGUCUCGGUGCCGGGAGGAAGAGAAGGGUGAAUGAGGGAGACGCGCAGUUACACGGGCCCGCCGCCAUUUUGGGCGAGGCCAUCGGCGCCACAGAGGGGUGCGAGCCCGAGCCAAGAUGGCCGCCGGCCAACCCCGUCCCGGCCCCGGAUGCAGACGAGAGCGCACCGGCAGUAGUUUCCCCAUGCCGGAAGCGCCGCGGUUCCGGAGCGGUGGCCGGGCGGCGAUGGUGGCGGCCCGGCAGCGGCGCGGCGGGCCGGAGGGGCACUCCGCUUCCCGGCGCGGCGGCGAGGGCUGAGGGGAGCGGGCCGCCUGCCGCCGCCCUCCCGCUCCCUCCUUCUCCGCCGGAGGAAGGUGCAGAGCAUGGAGAAUGAUGAACUUCCGCCAGAGGAUGGGAUGGAUUGGUGUGGGGUUGUACUUGUUAGCAAGUGCUGCAGCUUUUUAUUACGUCUUUGAAAUCAAUGAGACUUACAACAAACUAGCACUGGAGCACAUUCAGCAACACCCCAAGGAACCACAGGAAGGAACCACAUGGACGCACUCCUUAAAAGUACGACUGCUAUCCUUGCCUUUUUGGCUGUGGACUAUAAUAUUUUUAAUACCAUAUCUACAGAUGUUCUUGUUCCUCUAUUCCUGCACAAGAGCUGACCCCAAAACUGUUGGGUAUUGCAUCAUUCCUAUCUGCUUGGCUGUUAUUUGCAAUCGUCAUCAAACAUUUGUGAAGGCCUCUAAUCAGAUCAGUAGAUUACAACUGAUUGACACUUAGCUCAAUUUCUAGUUUCUGUAGCUGUUUUGAAGCAAUUGCGUAUGCCUGAUCUAAUCACAAGACUGAAGUUCUGAGUGAAGGCUGGAGAGAGCCUUUUCUUUCAAAUGGUUGAGCAAUGAAGAGAGUGACUGUUUUCUAUUUAAAAAAAAAAAAGUAACUGCAAAGGUUUUUAAAUAUGGGUCUAUCAGAAUGGCCAGAGUCGGGGAGCCCUACGUGACACCUGAUGGAAGUUUUCCUCAUUUUGCCUUAACGAUGCAAAAUUGCAACACUCCAUCUGAAAUGUCCUGUGGGGAAAUAAGUUUCUGGUCCAUGACUUUACUCCUCUGUGCAAAAAAAAGUGAUUUCCUUUGUUUUCCCUUGGAGUAAAAUCAAUGAAAAAAUACUUCUUUUGUGGUAAAUGUAAAAGGAAAACAAAAAUCAGAACAUGAUUAUAAAAGCUGCACCUAACACAAUUCUUUGCUUUUUCUUUUUUUUUUAAAGUAAUUAAUAUCUACAUCAGUGCUGGUUUUUAAUGACCUUUUAAAAAAUAAGUUUAGAUAUAAAUACAGGAAGCAAAGAAUAAAGUUUGUGUGAACCUUUAAAGGGGAAAAAGCACUUUUUUUUAAUGUGGUAGCAUACAUUUUUCAGUGACGUCAACAGUACUGUGUUGUCGCAGGUAUGCGGUGAGGAGUGGCAUAAGCCUGGAGAUUGGUGCUUUAAACUCUUUUCCUAACAUGUCAAAGCAUCUUAUGCUGGUAUUGGCCUAUAAUCUGCACAAAACUUAAUUUGUGUUUCCUUCUCCUGUCUAUAGAAAUCUCCUUUGAUAAAGUUACAAGUGAUUGGAAUUUACUACCGUUCUAAUUUCACUCUGGACCUGAUGUGAAACCAUGUUUUGGGAGCACUGAUGUAUUAGGAAAAACUCUGAAUUUGGGAAAGUUAACUGGUACUAGGUUGGGGGGGAUGCUACAAACAAGUUGUAAGACAGAUAAUCGUGUUUCUUCCAGAAAUUUGAAGAACUAAAGAGACCUUCUCAUUCUUGCAAUGAAUGCAAAUUUCUUCAGUCAUACUGAAAUUCCACUGAGAUUUCUUACCAUAGUUUCAGCCUCUAUUUUUCAGUGCUAUUUUGGCUUAGCAUUCAAUGCUAACAACUAGAUUGUGUAUUUUGAAUAAUAUUGCAUCUGUUCGUUCCUCUUGUCCUUUAUUCUUGUCUAUUCUUUUUAGAAUAACUAAGGCUUUGAGCUGGCCAUGAUGGAAGUAACCUUCCAAAUGUGAAAACAGUGCGAAAUACUCUCUUCAAAAGCAGUAGGCCCAAAACAAUUAUGAACUAAACUCCCUGAUUAUGAUUUGAAUUGUAUGUGAUUGUCGGUACACAAUCAUCACAAGCGCUAAUCCAUUUCUGACUACUUUAAGGGAAUCCUGGAGAAUAUCAGCUUUUUCUUGCUUUGGAAAGAGAGCGUUAUUUUCAGCGUUGCUAUGUUUAAGCAUGGCAGUUACAACACCUUAAACUUUUUGCAUUUGGAGAUAUUUUGAGACACUGGUUUCAAAUGCCAGCAUCGGUGCUAGGACCUGAAAACGAUGUAGCCUUUACAAGAAGGUUUUUGUUUCUAAGUGCAAUAUGAAAAGGAGGAAGCUGCCAUCUUAAUAUGCUGGAGAAAGACUAAAGUAUAAACUCUGGCUUGUAUCUUUGGGAGUCAGAGCUUUUAAGUUGUGUUGUUUCCUAACUUUAAAAAUCACCAUCCUAUUUAUCUAUAAAAUAAAAACUUUUCAAUGUUUAUAAA